GACGAACGCUGGCGGCGUGCUUAACACAUGCAAGUCGAACGGAAAGGCCCUGCUUUUGUGGGGUGCUCGAGUGGCGAACGGGUGAGUAACACGUGAGUAACCUGCCCUUGACUUUGGGAUAACUUCAGGAAACUGGGGCUAAUACCGGAUAGGAGCUCCUGCUGCAUGGUGGGGGUUGGAAAGUUUCGGUGGUUGGGGAUGGACUCGCGGCUUAUCGGCUUGUUGGUGGGGUAGUGGCUUACCAAGGCUUUGACGGGUAGCCGGCCUGAGAGGGGGACCGGCCACAUUGGGACUGAGAUACGGCCCAGACUCCUACGGGAGGCAGCAGUGGGGAAUAUUGCACAAUGGGAGGAAGCCUGAUGCAGCAACGCCGCGUGCGGGAUGACGGCCUUCGGGUUGUAAACCGAUUUCGCCUGUGACGAAGCGUGAGUGACGGUAAUGGGUAAAGAAGCACCGGCUAACUACGUG
rnacentral:rRNA from 1 species